AUUGUUUUCAUCUCUGCUUGCUUCACUAUCACCAUCCAUUGCAACCACCGCAAUCUUUCUUCUUCAUCUCUUUUUUUUAAUUAAUGUCUUCUUCGUUUCAUCGAUGUAUAUACAAAAAAUUUAAAUAGCAUAAGAUAGAAAUAAUAAAGUUUAUUUUUUUUGGUCAAAAAUAAUAAAGUUUAUGGAACAGAAAAAUUACGGAUCGGAACUGAAACAUCACGAAUCGGAAUUGAAAGGUGUGUCUUUACGUAUGUUAACUCCUGAUGGAGCAAUUGGCUCAGAAAAUCUCUUGAAAGAGUAGUCUUACAGAGAGUUCGGUCAAUGAACUAUCCAUUUCCAUAUCAAAUUUGUGUAGUGUGUUUGUGGUGUUUCUCUCAUUUAUUUGUCCUUGGCUUCUCUUAUUUAUUUGGGAGUUUUAUCCUUAGUGGAAUUUCAUUUCCACUGUUUUAAUAAGGAAUUCAUCACCUUAUAAUUCAAGUUAUGUUUGAAUUUAUUAGUUAAGUUGUUGUAAUAUCAUUUGAUGCAGGUUACAGAUGUCGAAGAACAUAAUAUAUACUUUGACUAGCUUUUCUUAAAAAACUUGCCGUAACUUGAAGGAGGGCAAAGAGAGAACUAAACAAUCUUAGUCAGAGUUGAGAUCAAAAUGAAACAAAGAUGACGUCCCCUGCGGCAUGACGGUCAAAAAAAAACAUGAUGAAGUUUAAGAGUGGAACAUCAUUUUAGCAACUUCUACUCUUGAAGGACCCUUCUUUUGCAUAAAUACUAUGGUUCAUUUAUUUGGAGAAUUUAUUUUUAUUUCUUUUAAAUAUUAUAUUUUCAUUAUUUCUUUUAUCUUCUUUUUCUUAUACCCACAGACAUUGAUGCAGAUAAUCUCAAAAACCUCUUAUGCGGUGGCCAGUCUUCUCUGCACAAGAGUUACUCUUCUUUUAUUUAGAUUUUUAUUUUAUUGAUUUUUUUUAAUGGAAUUUAAAUGUAUUCUGUUAUGAAAUUUUAUGAUGUAAGAACACUUUGAAUUUGGAUCAUUGAGUGUUUUUUUCUCAGUAUAUCAAUAUAUCUAUUGAAUUUUAGUUUACUUUGUGCUAUAAAUCCAAACAA